CACCCCAGAUUGGGAAGUAAAUAAAUGCUACUGGAUCGAGGCCCCUCGUCAUCUCUCCUGCCUCUUCAAUCAUCCAAAGACUGUUUAGUCUGUUAUUUUAAUGUAAUGGUCGGUUCAUGUCCGUUGCAUUGACUUGACUUGUCAUUGGGUCUGAUUUUAAAUGUGCCAUAUAGUUCAAUGUGGGAGCAGGUUCACACACUAAAUAAGACACUAAGGUCAAGCACAAGCAGAUUUUUUGUUUUAUUUUUCUCAGAGCAGAGUAGAGCAGAUGUUUCAGGUUGCUGCCAUCAGAGAGCAGUGACUUGACCUCAGUGUCUUAUUUAGUGUACUCCCACAUUGAACUCUACUUUUUGGGUCCACGCACCUACUUAUUUCUAAACAUCUAGAGUGCAACAAUACCCAUGCCUCCUAAUGUGCCAUAUAACCUGUAUCUCGCCUAUUGUGUGUGUGUGUGUGUGUGUGUGUGUGUGUGUGUGUGUUCGUGAAUGUGUUCACGCAGAUAUAAGAAGUUGGGGUUGGGGUUGGGGUUGAUGAUCCACAUGAUGGUGAUGGACCAGGACAGCUCUGGACCUCCUGACUGGCAGCUCCAUCCUCAACCUCCCUUCCUGUCCUUCACACAUGUGCAGGCAGAGGCAGUUUUCUGAAGGAUGGUUAAUGUCAGUAUCAACAUGUUGUGAUGGAGGCUUCCACCUGAGCUGAACACAGAAACUUGCACACAGUGAUGGAAGCAGUCGUUCCUGUUCAGCAUUGAUAUGCCGGUAAUGGGUUUGAUGAGCCACAGCGUGGUGAUGGGCAAUCAGCAUCAGGACCAGGGCCGCUCACAAGGAGAACCUCCUGCCCUGCCUCUUCAUCCUCAACCUCCAAUCUUCCUGCUCUUCACACAUGUGCAGGCACAGAGCCAGUUUUCAGAGGGAGGGCUGAUGACACCAGCAACUUCGGAUCUGAACCUGAUCAACCCAGCACCAACCACUGUGCCGCUCCUCCUCUGCCAACUGCACCACAUGGCUCCACCAUCUCAAAAAGGCACAGACACUACUCCACUUCCUGCGAAGGAUGAGAGAAGAGCCGACCUCCCCACAAACGGCACUCACCACCUUCUACAGGGGUGUCAUUGAGAGCAUCCUGACCAGCAGCCUCUCUGUCUGGCAUGGCAGCCGUCAAGCUGAAGACUAGAAGGCAGUACAGAGAGUGGUGAGGACAGCAGAAAAGCUCAUAAGAUCACC